ACAGGCCCGUAAAAUCAACAUAGAUACUGCGGCCUUAUAUGGAAACAUAUAAGUGAAAACUUUGUGAAUUGCUGGGACUGACCUGAGAGCCUGAUUCACCACAACGUAAUCAGAAACGAUCAGCGUGACGGUUUGAAAAGAAUCAGGAUUGGCAAAUCAGCAGCGAAGCCCCUAAGCGUUGAUACGUAUGGGGAACGUUCAACGACUAUCGAAACGGCAGACGUUGUCUGGAACGGAGUAGAGUACAAGGGCAAGUGCAUGGCUCUUGGAAGUGCAAAGCACCUAAGUCCGAAGUGAUAGGGUGAAGAUAUAGUCUCGACAUCUGGCUAACCGCCAGAG
rnacentral:ncRNA from 1 species